rnacentral:lncRNA from 1 species
CUGGCAGAUAUGAUGACAUAAGCUUUAGGCCAUCAACAAUAUGAAACAUUACUUUCCAAGAUGAACGAAAAAUAUUUUUCAGUCUCAACUUGAGGGGGAGUGUAAAAAGUAUAGUUGUACAGUUAGCUAUUUAUAUUGUACUCUUCUAGAAAGAUAAUUAGUUAGCUGUUAGUUGCUUAGCUGUCAUUAGUUAGUGGAGACAUUAUCAUGUAAUAAGUAUAUAACAGCUAUAUGUCUAAUCACGAUUAAGAGAUUGAAAAUCAAUCUUAUUUUUUCUCUCCAGAACCUUCCUCUCUCAUCUUCUCUGUUCUUCUUUCUUCUUCAAUUCUUCGACUCCAUUAAUGGAAAACCUAGAACUUGUCCUUAACAGCUUCUCCUGGAAACACCACACUACAAAGAUGACAUUUAGUUUGUGGAUUAAACCUAGUUUCUUAGUAAAUCGAAGUUCGACAUGAAAAAACUUCUUAGUGAUGAGUUCAACAAUUUUUUCAUUGCGUUAAUGUAAACGCAGUUAGUGUUUUUGCUUCCAAUGUUUUAACAGGUGUGCAAUUGUUGGUUUUGCCCCGCAAUUUUAAUCUUUCAUUGACAUCAGAGGUUGUAGUGUGUAAUGUGGUUUAAAUACAAGGUUGAAUUUAUAUAUGCUUUCGAGGGGAUCUUUACAUAAAUAGUCAAUUAUAUUUAAUGUUUAGUUUUUUAGGUCAUAUACAUAAAUUAUACAUUAAUUAUAUAUAAUUAUACACAUAUAAUACAUAAAUUAUAUAUAUAUUAUAUCCUUAUCGGUUAUUUUUAAUUUAAGUGAUUGAACUAAGCCUAUUUGGGUUAGUUCUUUUGGGUGGAAGCGGAGGGAGGAUUUCCUAGGUUUUUCUAUGGCAUGUCAGUUCCUGUUUUGUUACUAUUUCUUUUUUACACUGUGGCGUUUUAAUCUGAAUAUAGUAGAGAGUUUGCCUACUUUUGGUCUGAAAGAUUACAUUUUUUGUAAUGGAAAUUGGUGCCUAAAAACUUGGGGAGGACUGAAAUUUUCUUCCUUUUCGAGUGUCCACGAAGAACAUAAAGAAGAGAUAAGGGAGACAAUUGUUUUUUCCAAUAUACUAAUUUGUAGAAGCUGUAGGUUCAACUUGUAUCCUAUCGUCUAGAUCUUCUCUAAUAUGUGCCGGUAGAAUACAAGGAUGCGUAUCUAGGUUUAGGGAGGUGGAUUCACGUAAAUUUAUAUUCUUCUUCCUAAAAUCAUAUGUAAUGAUAUUAUAUUUUUUAAAAAUUAUUUAAAUAUAUGUGUGCAUGCAUUCAAGCUUAAAUUAUUUUAAUAUAAGAGUUUAAAAUUAAAUUCGUAAAAUAUAAAUUUUAAAUUUAUUUCUUCACAGUAAUGCGUUCAUUCUUUUGAAAUUCCGAAUCCGUGUCUGACAAGGACGACACUUUAAUGUAUAUAAAGGUUUUUGCCCAAACGCAAAGUUUAUUUUGUGUUUAAGAAAAAUUUUAGUACGAAACUUGAUGUCGAUUGUCAAAUUCCAAUAAUUCCUGUUGUUUUUUAAAGGAAAUACUAGGUUGUGAUGGCCUAUGCCAGCACAGGCCAAAUAUUAUAAAAGUUAAAAAUACUAUGUUUAUUAGCUCGGUAUAUGGAUUUUUUCCUAUUUAUACCAUAUAUGAAACUUUAUUACUAAAAAUAUG